rnacentral:rRNA from 1 species
GAUGAACGCUGGCGGCGUGCUUAACACAUGCAAGUCGAACGAUGAAGCUCAGCUUGCUGGGUGGUUUAGUGGCGAACGGGUGAGUAACACGUGAGUAACCUGCCCUUAACUCUGGGAUAAGCCUGGGAAACUAGGUCUAAUACCGGAUAGGAGCGCCUACCGCAUGGUGGGUGUUGGAAAGAUUUAUCGGUUUUGGAUGGACUCGCGGCCUAUCAGCUUGUUGGUGAGGUAAUGGCUCACCAAGGCGACGACGGGUAGCCGGCCUGAGAGGGUGACCGGCCACACUGGGACUGAGACACGGCCCAGACUCCUACGGGAGGCAGCAGUGGGGAAUAUUGCACAAUGGGCGAAAGCCUGAUGCAGCGACGCCGCGUGAGGGAUGACGGCCUUCGGGUUGUAAACCUCUUUCAGUAGGGAAGAAGCGAAAGUGACGGUACCUGCAGAAGAAGCACCGGCUAACUACGU